rnacentral:rRNA from 1 species
GAUGAACGCUGGCGGCGUGCUUAACACAUGCAAGUCGAACGAAGCAUUUGCGACAGAUUUUUUCGGAAUGAAGUUGCUUAUGACUGAGUGGCGGACGGGUGAGUAACGCGUGGGUAACCUGCCUUGUACUGGGGGAUAGCAGCUGGAAACGGCUGGUAAUACCGCAUAAGCGCACAAUGUUGCAUGACAUGGUGUGAAAAACUCCGGUGGUAUAAGAUGGACCCGCGUCUGAUUAGCUAGUUGGUGAGAUAACAGCCCACCAAGGCGACGAUCAGUAGCCGACCUGAGAGGGUGACCGGCCACAUUGGGACUGAGACACGGCCCAGACUCUACGGGAGGCAGCAGUGGGGAAUAUUGCACAAUGGAGGAAACUCUGAUGCAGCGACGCCGCGUGAGUGAAGAAGUAAUUCGUUAUGUAAAGCUCUAUCAGCAGGGAAGAUAGUGACGGUACCUGACUAAGAAGCUCCGGCUAAAUACGUG